rnacentral:misc_RNA from 1 species
AAAAAUUCCCAUGUGACAAAUGAUGAGCAUUAAUUAGCUAAAUCCGCAGAACAAUAUUAAUAAUAAAGAAAGAGAAACAGAACUUGUCCACUUGUUUCCUUCCAUCCAAAUUACAGAUAUAAAAAUUUUCCAUCUCCCCUCUAUCGCCAUAUUUUCAUACAAAUAAAACAAAAUGAGCCCUGCAGAUACCUCCUCCGAUAUCAUCUCCGACGAAUCCAAGAUUCCUCUUCUUCCUGUCCACGAUCAAACAAUCCAACGUCGAUCAAGCUCCCAUUCAUCUCUGAAGGAUUCCCUUCUCACACCAGCCAAUUUCUAUAUCCUGCUAGGGCCUCUUUUGUGUGCCAUAAUAUGCCUGUUGGUGAAGUUAGAUGCUCCGGUGAAUAGCAGGAACAUGUUAGCCAUUCUUGCGUGGAUGUUCUCUUGGUGGCUCACGGAGGCUGUGCCUAUGCCGAUCACUUCGAUGGCACCUCUGUUUCUGUUUCCAUUCUUCGGAAUUGCUUCUGCUGAUAACGUUGCUAAAUCUUAUAUGGAUGAUGUGAUUGCUCUUGUUCUUGGAAGCUUUAUCCUGGCUCUUGCUGUUGAGCAUUAUAAUAUACACAAGAGAUUGGCCUUAAACGUGAGAUCGAAAUUUCCUUUUAAAUCACGACUAGUUCACUUUUUCUUUUUUAAUCACUGGAUUCUUGAACUUGGAAAUAAUUGUGGGGUAUUAUGAAUUUAUAAUAUACAGAUAACCCAUCUGUUCUGCGGAGAUCCUGUAAAACCACCACUUCUCCUCCUUGGAAUAUGCGGCACCACAGCAUUUGUCAGCAUGUGGAUGCACAACGUUGCGGCGGCGGUGAUUAUGAUGCCCGUGGCGACAGGGAUUUUGCAGCGGCUGCCGGUGGGUCCAGUCCAAGGACAAAACAAUGUGGUGGGAAAGUUCUGCAAGGCAGUGGUCCUGGGGGUGAUAUACUCUGCAGCUGUUGGAGGGAUGAGCACUCUUACGGGGACGGGUGUCAACCUGAUAUUGGUGGGGAUGUGGAAGAGCUAUUUUCCACAGGCAAAUCCUAUCAGCUUCAGCACUUGGUUCUUCUUCGGGUUUCCUCUGGCUUUGGUAAUUUUCCUUGCUUUGUGGGCCAUACUUUGUUUGUUGUAUUGCUCAAGAGGUUCAGGCCAAGUCCUCUCUGCUUAUUUGGACAGAGCUCACCUCAAGGGAGAACUUGAAACUCUAGGUCCAAUGGCUUUUGCUGAAAAGUCGAUUUUAGCCAUAUUUGGGAUGCUAAUAGUUUUAUGGAUGACAAGAAGCUUAACAGAUGAGAUUCCUGGUUGGGGAGCUCUCUUCAAUGGACGUGCUGGGGAUGGAACUGUCAGUGUUAUGAUGGCAACAUUACUAUUCAUAAUACCAAGCAAGAAGCAAAAGGGUGAGAAAUUGAUGGAUUGGAACAAAUGCAAGAAGCUACCAUGGAACAUCAUAUUACUCCUAGGAGCUGGUUUUGCCAUUGCAGAUGGAGUGAGGACUAGUGGCCUGGCUGAUGUGCUUUCAAAAGCAUUGGACUUCUUGGAGGAAGCACCAUACUGGGAAAUUGCCCCUAUUGUGUGUCUCAUUAGUGCCACAAUCACUGAAUUCACUUCCAAUAAUGCCACAACCACACUCUUGGUCCCUCUGCUCAUUCAAAUUGCAAAAUCUAUGCAUGCCCACCCACUGCUGCUUAUGGUUCCUGGAGCAAUUGGAGCACAAUUUUCUUUCUUGCUUCCAACUGGAACACCUUCCAAUAUUGUAGGGUUCACCACUGGGCAUAUUGAGAUCAAAGAUAUGAUUAAGACUGGGUUGCCCCUCAAGAUUGCUGGUAUUACAGCACUUGCUUUUCUAAUGCCUACACUAGGAGCUUAUGUUUUUAGGACAAAUGGAGAAGUUCAAUAAACAUCUGCAUAGUCUUGUGUGAUCAGCAGCUGGUCUCUUCCUCGUUGUAGGGCUUGAAGAAUUGAAGUUAUAUAUUUUGUGCAAUCAAAGUGAAAUGCUCUUCUUGUUUCCAAAUUUUCCUUCUAUAUUUUUCUUUCCUGUUAUUGUAAAUGUACAUAUCUAGUGAUUCACAAUUAGAAUGCUAAG